rnacentral:tRNA from 1 species
GGAGGGAUGGCCGAGUGGUUUAAGGCAGUGGUCUUGAAAACCACCGUAUCGCCCUGCGGUACCGUGGGUUCGAAUCCCACUCCCUCCG